AAUAUUGUUUUGAGUUUUAAUUUCAAUUCACUCAUUAAAUUUGCGUAAUUAGGGUUUCUUUUUGAAAUUAGUGUUUUACUUAGGUUCACAUCCACUUUGGCAAUCCAGUUUCGGUUAAGGUUAUGUUAGAUAAAAUUUGAACUAAUCAAUCUUUGUGGGACGACAUUCGGACCCAUUGAAUCCACUUUAUUACUUGUUAACGAACCGUACACUUGCGGUAGUUUAAAAUCGAAAGAAAAUAAUUUCGCAAACAACAUACAAACGAAGUAGAAUUUUCAGUUGAAAGCUACAUUGAUAUGGAAUAUUAGUUAUUUUUCGGGAUAUGGGUUGAACUAAGUCUUUCGAGCUUAAAAAUGGAGAAAAAACAUCUUUUCUUUAUUGUCAUCGUCAAUUCCUACCACCCGACCAUGCAUUUAGAAAACAAAGAGACAAGUUUUACAAAGAUAGAGUUGAGAAGAAUAUGGCACAACAUAAGCUAACUGGUAAAGAGCUGUAAAGUAUAGUGGAAAACCUCCCACGCAUUGCAAGUGGCAAAGCUUAUAAGAGAAAAGAAAUCAAAGGUUUUGGUCAUAGCCAUAAUUGGAUGAGGAGAAGCACUUUCUAGGAGUUGCCUUAUUGGGAUAAAAAUCUCAUAAGGCACAAUUUAGAUGUAAUGUACAUUGAAAAGAAUGUAUUCGAAAAUAUAUUUAACACAAUUAUGGAUAUAAAAGGAAAAGUAAAGACAACUUUAAGGCUAAGAAGGAUUUGGAGCUCUAUUGCAAUCAUCUAGAGCUUCAUAUAUAUGAAGGUAACAGGGGAAACUAUUCAUGCCAAAGGCCUCCUACAGCUUGACUAAUGUACAAAAACAAGAAUUAUGCAAUUGGAUUAGGAAUUUAAGAAUGCCUGACGGUUAUGCAUCAAAUAUUUCACAUUGUGUUAAAGGUGAUUGUGAGUUCUAUGGAAUGAAGAGCCACGAUUGCCAUAUUUUUAUGCAAAGAUUGCUGUCGAUUGCAUUUAAAGAAUUGUUGCCCAAACCAAUUUGGGAAGCUUUAAUUGAACUUAGCCAUUUUUUUAGGGAUAUAUGUUCUCCUGUUUUGAGGAUAAAAGAUAUGGAGCAAUUGGAGCAAAACAUUGUUGUGACAUUAUGCAAGCUUGAAAAGAUUUUUCAAUUAGGCUUUUUUGAUUCAAUUGAGCAUUUAUCUGUUCACUUAGCUUAUGAAGCAAAGGUUGGCGGUCCUAUGCAAUACCGUUGGAUAUAUCCUUUUGAGAGGUUCAUACACCACUUAAAAAAGGAAGUGAAAAAUUGGGCUCAUGUUGAGGCAUCUAUUGUAGAGGCAUACUUAGUAGAGGAAAUGUCAACUUUUUGCUCUCUAUAUUUUGAUCAAAUUAUUCAAACAAGAUUGAAUCGUGUGUUGAGGAACGAUGAUGGAGGUCAUAUUGAUUCCCAAGGGAGACUAUCAAUUUUUACCUACCUUGGAAGACCCUUUGGCAUGCAACGUCAUAAUAGCAGAUUAAUGACGAAUGAGGAAUUCAGAGCAGCAUCAACGUAUGUGCUCUUCAAUUGUGAGGAAGUAACUCUUUUUAUCGCGGUGUUUGAUAAACAUAUGAGAAUGUUGCAUCCUCAAAUGUAUGAUGGACAAUUUGAUGGUUUACGGGAAGAACAUUUUUCGUGUUGGUUAAAGGAAUAUGUAAGUGUUGUAACUAAUGUCUCAAUUAACCCAAAAAAGUAUUUUGUAAAAUGAGUUGUAAUACAUAUUGUUUCUUUUUGUUCAAGUUUUGGAUGAUCAUAAUGAAGUUGAUAAUCGCAUAAGGAUGGAACUUGCAUUCCAAGAGGAUCAACAACCAUCGACCCAGAAACCUAUUCGAAUAUAUUCAGAAUUUGAAAGCCAAAAUUUAGUCCGUACUGAUAUUAGAGCUGAAGAAGUGGAUGUGGCUGAAUCUAGGAUCUUUUAUGUAGAUUCUGAAAGGCAUGUUGUAGACAAAAAUAUACAACUACAAGACACUGACAGUAGUGAUGGUUUCACAAGUGCAAGUGAAGGCUAAAAAAUAUAGAAACAUUUGAUGUGUUCAUGGAGAAGGGAGUAAUGACCAGGCUAGACAAGAAGCUAGGUGAUUUUUGGUUCAAGAGACAGGGUCUUGGUGUAUGCAAACUCAACUUCUAGUAAAUGUGCCCCUUCAUAAUUUAGCAAGUGGGGUUUAUAUAUCUAUGUUCGACAGAUCUGACCCUUAACAUCUGUUGGAUGAGAUUGAUUUUUUUUAUAUUUUUGUUUCCUUUCAAUCUGAAAUGUAUUGAGUACUGCUCAGAACUCAUGUUGGACACACUUUGUUCUACUGGACGCCUCUUUUAUUGUAUUGGACAAUCUUGUAUUGUAUUUGAGAGCUCUUUUGCCUUGGAAGUUCUAGUUUAUUUCUUUA